AACGAACGCUGGCGGCAUGCCUAACACAUGCAAGUCGAACGAGACCUUCGGGUCUAGUGGCGCACGGGUGCGUAACGCGUGGGAACCUGCCCUUAGGUUCGGAAUAACUCCCCGAAAGGGGUGCUAAUACCGGAUAAUGUCUUCGGACCAAAGAUUUAUCGCCUUUGGAUGGGCCCGCGUUGGAUUAGCUAGUUGGUAGGGUAAAAGCCUACCAAGGCGACGAUCCAUAGCUGGUCUGAGAGGAUGAUCAGCCACACUGGGACUGAGACACGGCCCAGACUCCUACGGGAGGCAGCAGUGGGGAAUAUUGGACAAUGGGCGAAAGGCUGAACCAGCAAUGCCGCGUGAGUGAUGGAGGCCUUAGGGUUGUAAAGCUCUUUUACCCGGGAUGAUAAUGACAGUACCGGGAGAAUAAGCGCCGGCUAACUCCGUG
rnacentral:rRNA from 1 species